GACAAUAAAGCCUAGAGAAGAAUCAAGACCUUGGGCGUGUUGCUUCGGUCCCUGAAGGGUCGCGACAAAUGCAGAGGUGCUCUAUAAAUAAACAAAAUACAAUUCUUUGAUGUAUUUGCCAUUGUUGUUGCAAACACUCCUUCAGGAAAUUAAAUGUCUACCAUGUGGUGAAGUUCUGUUUUAAACCACAAGGAUACAAAGAUGAACAUGAUAGUCUCUGAUCUCAGGAAACUCAUAGUUUAUUAUGAUCCAGGAACAAGAUGUAUGGGCAGUAUCAAUAUACUAACCACAGGGAAUGCUAUGACCUUUUUAAAAAUCACAACUUAUUUCUCUUAAAUCCUCAGACGUGUUUUUAGAAUUUAUUCCUUUGCUCUUUAUGGAAAGAGAUUUGAUUUCAUCAAACUGAAUAUAGUUAAACAAAAAUUUGUUUCAUUUGGUAGAGUAAUCUAUAAUAAGCCUCAAAACAAAGUAUGUUUCUUCUUGAAUUAAGAGCCUUCCUAAUUUUGGCUUUAUUCCUCAAAGGUUGUGAACGUGAGAAAAGAAGUGAAGAGAAUCCGAGCUUUGGUUAUCCGAAAACUUGUCAGGAGUGUGAGCAGGCUGAAGUCAAAAAAGGGUGCUGAAGAUGCACUGUUAAAAAACCAGAGACAGGCACAACGAUUGCUUGAAGAAAUCUGUGCCAUGAAGUGAUGGUACCAGUAAACCUUGGGGUUUAACUGUAGUAACUGGUUUUACAGUGAGUUGAUCCUGCCCUAAUAUCUGAAGAGGAUUCCUCAGGAAAGCAAAAAGAGCCAUCGUGAAAUAUACAAUUAUUUAUCUGCUUGACAGCACAAAGAAAGAAGAGAUGCCGGUUAACAAUUUGGCCACCAUGGAAGAUAAAAAUAAUCAGGAAGAGGAAAACAGUCUUUUAUGAUUGUUGAGUGCUUUAAAUGAGAACAAAAUAAGAAGUCUGUCUGGUUUCUUACCAGAUGAUUUUCAUUGAAGUAGACUGCCUGAUGUUAUUGUUGAAACUUCAUGUCUCUAAGGAACUGUCUCCACUGUUGCAUCAAUUAGGAUUCUUGCUCGAGUGCUUAUACAAGGGAUUCAUUACUUAUUUUUAAAUCUGAGAUACUAAGAACCCUUUUGUUUAUAUACUUAGUUUUAGUCUUGUCAACAAUGCCCUUCCCCCCAAAAAGGUAGUCUUUUUGGUGUAAAGUUUGAGUGUUGAGAAUUAUCAGCUCUUCAAACCAAAGAGAGUUACUCAUGGUCUAGAAGCCUUUGAGUAGUAUUUUACACUAAAGUGGAGAUAAAACUAGAAGAUGUUUCCUACACUAAAAGAUAAAAGUUACUAUUGGCACUCAAAAAAUAUGAUUUUAAGAUUUCACUUACUUUUCUCUUUGAAAGAUUUAGAUGACAAUAUCCUCUGAGUAACAGAUUUGAUCUGUUUUUACCAAUAUUGUGAUGAAAAAGCUACUUAAGUAAUUGUGACUUUUCACAGCUGUGAGAUCCUUACUGAUUGAAAUUUUUCAUCAAGAGUGCACGAUAAUGUAGAUACUUCACCAAAAUAUUCUAUAUAGAUAGAGAUGAUAUUGAUGUAGAUACAGACACAGACAUAGAUAUUUACUGACGUAUUUCCUAACAUUGGUUUAUUUAGUGACCCAUGAACUCUUUUAGAAUGAAAAAAAUCUCUGAAAGCCAAUGAGGCAAACAUGAGUCAGUCAGACACAUUUCAGUCAGUCAUUUCCCCAAAUAUUGCCUCUUAAUAAGUUUAAAAGGAAAAAAAAGAGUAAGAAAAAAAGACUUGUCAGAAUUUGCCCAGACUAUUCAGGGUGUUCUAGGAACUUCCUGACUGAGGAUCGGAAGGCUCGAGAACAAGUCAGGGUCUUGUAGAGGCAGUGCCUUCAAGUAUAUCAGAAUGAAUGAGUGGCCUGGAGACUGUGACACAGCUCAGCAGGAAACUGCGUCUCUCAGGCAGUCCUCCCUCCGUCACAUGGCAGCAGUUUUAUCUAUGGGAACUGCCCAGAGGGGGAACUGACAAGAGCUGAUGUCAACAGAAAAGCAAAGUUUUAAAGGAAGUAAUUAAAACCAGUCUCAUAAAAAAGCCAAAUUGAGUCUCCUGGGAAAAUUUCUUUAAACAACAAUUUAAGAAGGUUGUGAUCUCUGGAGAUACUUAUUCAAGAAAGAAGUCUUUGAUUAGCUGCUAUGAUACAUAAUUGAUGAUAACUUAGGAACUAUUAUGGAGCAGCUAUGGUACAAAACCAAGAUUUACAAAACCCUUAAACUUAAUUUUUGUAAUUGUCUUACAGAAGGAUACGUUGAUAAGGGAUAAUUGAAAGAGAAAUGUUAAUAUAAUUGAAAGAAAUAUAAAGAGAAAAUUCUCUAGGGAAAGCUUUGUAGAAGGCAGGGAGGAGAAAAAUUUUUUGUUUUGUCUUGUUUUAUAUGAAAGUUUUAUGCACAAGCUGAAUAGGUAAUCAUUUCAUGGGUUAUUUUAGAGCCACUAACAAUUCCUACACCAAAGUACCAAUACCCUUUAAAGCUUAAAAAAAAAUAGAACGCAAUAGUGAUUUU